rnacentral:piRNA from 1 species
GAUUACAGGAACAAAUGCUGAGG